UUUAACUUAUUGCAUACUGUCCCUUACUGUUUUACAAAGGUUAAGUGCAGUUUGCCUGAGAAACCAUAACUACCAUACCUGGGUGCAACAAAGUGUGGAAGCUCUUGAAGCCCCAACUCAUUAUUGAGAGAACACAAUUGUGAAGGAGAUCUGAAGCUGCACUGCAAGGUGUGAGGUUUCUGGAAGAAAAAGA
rnacentral:lncRNA from 1 species